GACGAACGCUGGCGGCGUGCCUAAUACAUGCAAGUAGAACGCUUAAGGAGGAGCUUGCUUCUCUGGAUGAGUUGCGAACGGGUGAGUAACGCGUAGGUAACCUGCCUGGUAGCGGGGGAUAACUAUUGGAAACGAUAGCUAAUACCGCAUAAGAGUAGAUGUUGCAUGACAUUUGCUUAAAAGGUGCAAUUGCAUCACUACCAGAUGGACCUGCGUUGUAUUAGCUAGUUGUUGAGGUAACGGCUCACCAAGGCGACGAUACAUAGCCGACCUGAGAGGGUGAUCGGCCACACUGGGACUGAGACACGGCCCAGACUCCUACGGGAGGCAGCAGUAGGGAAUCUUCGGCAAUGGACGGAAGUCUGACCGAGCAACGCCGCGUGAGUGAAGAAGGUUUUCGGAUCGGAAAGCUCUGUUGUAAGAGAAGAACGAGUGUGAGAGUGGAAAGUUCACACUGUGGCGGUAUCUUACCAGAAAGGGACGGCUAACUACGUG
rnacentral:rRNA from 1 species